rnacentral:rRNA from 1 species
GACGAACGCUGGCGGCGUGCUUAACACAUGCAAGUCGAACGAAGAGCGAUGGAAGCUUGCUUCUAUCAAUCUUAGUGGCGAACGGGUGAGUAACGCGUAAUCAACCUGCCCUUCAGAGGGGGACAACAGUUGGAAACGACUGCUAAUACCGCAUACGAUCUAAUCUCGGCAUCGAGGAUAGAUGAAAGGUGGCCUCUACAUGUAAGCUAUCACUGAAGGAGGGGAUUGCGUCUGAUUAGCUAGUUGGAGGGGUAAAGGCCCACCAAGGCGAUGAUCAGUAGCCGGUCAGAGAGGAUGAACGGCCACGUUGGGACUGAGACACGGCCCAGACUCCUACGGGAGGCAGCAGUGGGGAAUCUUCCGCAAUGGACGAAAGUCUGACGGAGCAACGCCGCGUGAGUGAUGACGGCCGUCGGGUUGUAAAGCUCUGUUAAUCGGGACGAAAGGCCUUCUUGCGAAUAGUGAGAAGGAUUGACGGUACCGGAAUAGAAAGCCACGGCUAACUACGUG